CGGUGACUGUCUACGUCACUCCGGCCCCACGCGACAGAGCAACGGCGGGAGCGAAGUGAUGGCGCUUCGGGCGGCGGAGCUCCGGCGACUCGUCGUCCUCCUCCGCGGCGAGGCGGCCCUUCCGCUCCCCCUCGCGUGGCGCGGCCGGCCGGUGAGCACCGCCGCUCGCGACGACGAGCUCGCCGGGAAGAGCGCCUAUGAGGUGCUCGGGGUCGGGGAGACCAGCUCCUCCGCCGAGAUCAAGGCCUCCUUCCACCGCCUCGCCAAGGAGACCCACCCCGACGUCGCCGCCGCCGCCGGGUCCAGCCGCUUCCUUCAGAUCCUCGCUGCCUACGAGAUCCUAUCGGAUUCACAGAGAAGGGCUCACUAUGAUAUCUACCUGCGAUCGCAGAAGCGAGUUUUGCAGAAGCAUCCUAGGCCAUCUCAUCAUGUAUAUCCAAAUCCAAGUGGUUCAGGCAUUGUAGUAACAAGAGAAAGUAAUGUUGUUGAGUGGCUAAAAUGGUAUAGGCUCACUAUUGAUGACAUAGUUACAAAGAAGAGGGUUGCGACAGGGUCAGGUUACUUUGAUAAGCUUGAAAGUGAACUGUACACAGCAAUCCAUGCUGCAUACUAUGGUCCGGAUGUUCGGUCUGUGGAUCUCCUUCCUGAUUGCUUUGAAGCUGAGGAGAGGUCUGUAUAUGAGACCCCUGAGCUAUUGCACCUUGUAUCGGGUCGUGAUCUGUUUGGUAUUGUUAGUCUAGCUGAUAGAGUUCAACAGCUGCCAGAUGCUUUUCAGGAGAAGCAGACGCUACCUGGUUUUAAAACUUACGGGAUUAGUCAGCAUGUUUCAACAAACUUGGAGAAAGGCACAGUACACGCCAGUCCUGUAUAUAUUCACAAGAGAGAGAUUGACAAGAAUGAUGGUCCUCAUUCAGAUGCCUACAAGGAUAUUGAAUUGUGGAUCUGUGGGAAAUUAGUAGCUACUGCAACGAGGAGCCCUAAGUGCAAUUGUAUUGAUAAAUCAGAUGUGGAAGAUCACAUACAUGUAUUUCUUGUCCCAAAUGAAGUGGCUUCAUCUGAUUUUACACAAGAGCUUCCUAUCCUGGGAACUAUUACUGGCUUGGCCACCACUGGGGAGGAAGGAUCUUGCUGUGUCUAUGAUAGCCGUGGGAUAAAGACACAUCUAAUUGUCAAGCACAGAACAUUAAUGGUCAAACACAUGCACUGGUAUCAAGUUGGAGAUGAAAUUUCUCCAUGUGAGUGUCGAUGCAGUAGGGCUCGGUUGCCACCUAGUAGAUAUUGGCUUUUUGAGCCUCGUUGUUAUAUGCAUGACACUGGUGGCUGGUACAUUGAGACCUUUGGAAGGGACAAGAAAGGGAGGAAAAUUCUAUCACCAAGACAAUGGGAUGGUUCCAAUGAACACUCUGAAAGGAGGUUGCAUCCAGCAAUGUAUCUGGCAGCUCUAGCUUACAGAUCUUUGGAUAUUGAGGAUGCUCAACGAAAGAAAUGGAGCAUUACGACCUUCCUGGAACUGCAGUCAUCUCAUAUCUGUCAAUUGUGCAAAAAAAUCUUCAAUGGGGGAAAGGAAAGUUCAUGAGAACACCAUGAGAAAUGCACAGCAGUUUCAAGAAUUUGAUCUUUGACAACUCUGAUACUAUGAUGCCAUGCCUUGUUCACCCGUUGAUCAUAUCCUUGAGAUUUUGGUGUGGCUAUGUAGCAUCAUGGCACUGCACUGGAAGAUAUAUAGUGCACCUCUAGAAUAAGCAAAAUUAUCUGAGGCUGUUCAUUGUGCUGAUUGUUGGAUGUGGCACCCCUGGUCAAUAGCUUUUUUGCUGUGCUGAUGUCAGAAUUUCCACACCAUUUGCUAUGAAAGGACAGACAUUAUGGCUUCAGCCAUGGCCAGUUAACUUGAAGUCUGUCUUAUGACCAACGGGUGGGAAUAUGGGAGAAAGUUAAUAAUUACUUGGCUUCUCGACUGGAGUUUAAUCUACUUGGCAUAUUGAUUUUAUAUUAGGCGAGCACCCUCUAAAUUUGGUGAAGGUGAGAGAUGAAGCAGCCACCGAGCUUAGCGUGAACAUUCUAAGAAAAGGGGAAAGCACUAUGAAAAAGCACCAGCAAGCAGCAACAGCUCUGCAUGGAGAGGGAUAUUGUAUUUUCUUAGCCUCUUAGGUGUCGACUGAGUUGCGCAUGCUAUUGUGGGCAAGUUGUUUAUGUUUGAGACAAUGAAUUUUGCUUCUAUAGUUCCACCUGAUGGAAGACUACACUUUGAUCUCGGCACACUAACUCUCUGCAGUUGACCUUCAUACGGAAACUUUGGCUCUUCGGUAAAACUUAGUUCAAGAAGAUAAUAGAUCUGUUAGUGUCUGGUUUAAUCAUUGUCUGGGAGGUACCAACUAGGCCAUUAUUCCCCAGGAACCAAUCUAGUCAAAUACUUCAUAUGCUUGGAAUUUUCUGAAUUCACUGACCAAGAGACCUAAACAUUUUCUGGAGAACACAUGCUGAUGCUGUGGUACACUAAGUUAAUUCAAGUUCAAAGUACUUGGUCUAGUUUGAUGCUUCGUGAUUGCAUCCUGAUGUUUAUACAUCACUGGUGAAGAAAGUGCCAAAGUGUCUCAUGUUCACGGGUUGGUUUCGAGUAGUACAGGUUUGUUGUGUUCAGGACCCCAGGAGUUGCUUUUCACCAUAUGGAUGCAAUCAUGUACAUAUGCCUUUUCUUUUUGCCACAAUAAUCGUUGUAAGCUGUGGUUUCAGGCCCGUUCUUUGAAAUUGAGAUGACCAGCAAUAGUGCAAUACGAAGUUA